rnacentral:rRNA from 1 species
CGAGCGGUAAGGCCCUUCGGGGUACACGAGCGGCGAACGGGUGAGUAACACGUGGGUAACCUGCCCUGUACUCUGGGAUAAGCCUGGGAAACUAGGUCUAAUACCGGAUACGACCUGUCACCGCAUGGUGGUGGGUGGAAAGUUCCGGCGGUAUGGGAUGGACCCGCGGCCUAUCAGCUUGUUGGUGGGGUAAUGGCCUACCAAGGCGACGACGGGUAGCCGGCCUGAGAGGGUGACCGGCCACACUGGGACUGAGACACGGCCCAGACUCCUACGGGAGGCAGCAGUGGGGAAUAUUGCACAAUGGGCGAAAGCCUGAUGCAGCGACGCCGCGUGAGGGAUGACGGCCUUCGGGUUGUAAACCUCUUUCAGCAGGGACGAAGCGCAAGUGACGGUACCUGCAGAAGAAGCACCGGCUAACUACGUGCCAGCAGCCGCGGUAAUACGUAGGGUGCGAGCGUUGUCCGGAAUUAUUGGGCGUAAAGAGCUCGUAGGCGGUUUGUUGCGUCGGCUGUGAAAACUUCACGCUUAACGUGGAGCCUGCAGUCGAUACGGGCAGACUUGAGUUCGGCAGGGGAGACUGGAAUUCCUGGUGUAGCGGUGAAAUGCGCAGAUAUCAGGAGGAACACCGGUGGCGAAGGCGGGUCUCUGGGCCGAUACUGACGCUGAGGAGCGAAAGCGUGGGGAGCGAACAGGAUUAGAUACCCUGGUAGUCCACGCCGUAAACGGUGGGUGCUAGGUGUGGGGGACUUCCACGUCCUCCGUGCCGCAGCUAACG